CCCUCACACCUGCGCCCACCCCCUCCCAAGCCCUCCCCUUCUUGCGGAUCAGCGCCGCAGUUCGGCUGCUCUCCGUCCUCGCCUCGCACGCGGCAUCAGCGCAGGCUUCUUCUUGCGGAUCAGAAUAAUCAAAUCGAAGAAAAGAAAAAACUCGGUUGCUCUCCGUCCUCAUGUCGUACACGACAUCAGCGCAGGCCAAGAAGGCAAUGACCGGAUCCUUCGUCGUCAAUCCGUGAAGGGGCAUCAACGCAGUUGCAGCCUGCAGCCUUGCAGAUGAGGCCCGGCGGACGAGGGAAGAAAGGAACCACUAGCAAUGGAUUCGUCGAGCGGUUGGACAAAUGGAGGAGGUCAGGAGGAAACAAUAUGAGUACCAACAGUACCGAGAAAGAAAGAAGGCCAUGUCCCAAAGCAGUAGCGCUGACCUCAGUUUGGACGAGAUCCACGAUUAUGGACCUCAAAUUUGCAACUUCAUCAAGAAAUAACUCGGUUUGGACGAGAUCCACGAUUAUGAAUCCACUUCCCGAUGUUGUAUGUUCGAGGGGUUAUGAUCAAAGCAUGACAUAUAUACCUACAUUCCGCAAUAUUAUUGCUAAAAGGUUCAAACUCACCAUAGGAAAGAUAAAUUAUAAGUGGAAUGAUAAUAUUUAUUAUUGGAAGCGAGAAUACCCUAGAUGUGUAACAAAGCUUCUGGAAUUUAAAUACUGGCAAUCGCUUAUAUUA